AAAACAGAAAGUGGAAACUUCUUUCUCCAGCUGAUGGCAAUAGCAGUACCAGAAGGUGAAUAUUAAAGGCCUUGAAGAGACUAGAAGACAGUCUGAAAACAUUAACAUUCCAUAUAGGUGAAUGCAUGGGAGGAGAAGAUGGUCCAGUUCUUACCUCAACACAAAGCGGGAAUCCACACCAGAAUGGAGCCCAGUGCCAGGAAUCCGGAGGAACCUCUAAAGCCUACAUGCUGCCUGUGAUAGAAGGACAACCGAAGGACACGGGAAGACAGCCUGAAAUCCACUGCUAUCAAGGGUUUUAGAGACAAGGAGUGUUGUGUUCCGGAAGCCGUAAACAUGGGAGGGACAGAGCUGGCCGCUUACAGCCAUCUGGCUACAGUCCUACCACACCCUCUUCUCCAUCCUGUCUGAAACCGCACCCCUGGGGCCCGCCUGAAGCUGGACCAGAUUCCAUAUAAAUUGGGGGACAGAACGCCUUUCUUAGACAAUCUCUCAGAGAAACCCUGUUUCUUCUUGGGUCCCAGUCCUGGGUUUCUUUUCUCCUUCUCUUCAUUAAUUUUGCAAUUUACUUUGUUGUAUCUUUUAACCACACAAUAAAGCCAUGAGGAGACAAAUGCUGAAUUAACAAGCAGGGCUGCACAAUUGAGCUAUGCUAGUGGGUGUGAAGUAGCAUCACACUGUGGUUUUGAUUUGCAUUUUCCUGAUGACUAAUGAUGUUGAGCAUCUUUUCAUGUGUUUAAUAGCCAUUUGUACAUUUUCUUUGGAGAAUUGUCUGUUCAAGCAGUCUGCCAAUUUUUUUAAUUCG
rnacentral:lncRNA from 1 species